GGUUAAGCGACUAAGCGUACACGGUGGAUGCCCUGGCAGUCAGAGGCGAUGAAGGACGUGCUAAUCUGCGAAAAGCGUCGGUAAGGUGAUAUGAACCGUUAUAACCGGCGAUGUCCGAAUGGGGAAACCCAGUGUGAUUCGUCACACUAUCGUUAACUGAAUACAUAGGUUAACGAGGCGAACCGGGGGAACUGAAACAUCUAAGUACCCCGAGGAAAAGAAAUCAACCGAGAUUCCCCCAGUAGCGGCGAGCGAACGGGGAGCAGCCCAGAGUCUGAAUCAGCUUGUGUGUUAGUGGAACGGUCUGGAAAGUCCGACGGUACAGGGUGAUAGUCCCGUACACCAAAAUGCACAGGUUGUGAACUCGAAGAGUAGGGCGGGACACGUGGUAUCCUGUCUGAAUAUGGGGGGACCAUCCUCCAAGGCUAAAUACUCCUGACUGACCGAUAGUGAACCAGUACCGUGAGGGAAAGGCGAAAAGAACCCCGGCGAGGGGAGUGAAAAAGAACCUGAAACCGUGUACGUACAAGCAGUGGGAGCACCUUCGGGUGUGACUGCGUACCUUUUGUAUAAUGGGUCAGCGACUUAUAUUCUGUAGCAAGGUUAACCGUAUAGGGGAGCCGCAGGGAAACCGAGUCUUAACUGGGCGUUAAGUUGCAGGGUAUAGACCCGAAACCCGGUGAUCUAGCCAUGGGCAGGUUGAAGGUUGGGUAACACUAACUGGAGGACCGAACCGACUAAUGUUGAAAAAUUAGCGGAUGACUUGUGGCUGGGGGUGAAAGGCCAAUCAAACCGGGAGAUAGCUGGUUCUCCCCGAAAGCUAUUUAGGUAGCGCCUCGUGAACUCAUCUUCGGGGGUAGAGCACUGUUUCGGCUAGGGGGUCAUCCCGACUUACCAACCCGAUGCAAACUACGAAUACCGAAGAAUGUUAUCACGGGAGACACACGGCGGGUGCUAACGUCCGUCGUGAAGAGGGAAACAACCCAGACCGCCAGCUAAGGUCCCAAAGUCAUGGUUAAGUGGGAAACGAUGUGGGAAGGCACAGACAGCCAGGAUGUUGGCUUAGAAGCAGCCAUCAUUUAAAGAAAGCGUAAUAGCUCACUGGUCGAGUCGGCCUGCGCGGAAGAUGUAACGGGGCUAAACCAUGCACCGAAGCUGCGGCAGCGACACUAUGUGUUGUUGGGUAGGGGAGCGUUCUGUAAGCCUGCGAAGGUGACCUGUGAGGGUUGCUGGAGGUAUCAGAAGUGCGAAUGCUGACAUAAGUAACGAUAAAGCGGGUGAAAAGCCCGCUCGCCGGAAGACCAAGGGUUCCUGUCCAACGUUAAUCGGGGCAGGGUGAGUCGACCCCUAAGGCGAGGCCGAAAGGCGUAGUCGAUGGGAAACAGGUUAAUAUUCCUGUACUUGGUGUUACUGCGAAGGGGGGACGGAGAAGGCUAUGUUAGCCGGGCGACGGUUGUCCCGGUUUAAGCAUGUAGGCUGAUUGUCCAGGCAAAUCCGGAUAAUCAAGGCUGAGGUGUGAUGACGAGGCACUACGGUGCUGAAGUAACAAAUGCCCUGCUUCCAGGAAAAGCCUCUAAGCAUCAGGUAACAUCAAAUCGUACCCCAAACCGACACAGGUGGUCAGGUAGAGAAUACCAAGGCGCUUGAGAGAACUCGGGUGAAGGAACUAGGCAAAAUGGUGCCGUAACUUCGGGAGAAGGCACGCUGGUGUGUAGGUGAAGUCCCUGCGGAUGGAGCUGAGACCAGUCGAAGAUACCAGCUGGCUGCAACUGUUUAUUAAAAACACAGCACUGUGCAAACACGAAAGUGGACGUAUACGGUGUGACGCCUGCCCGGUGCCGGAAGGUUAAUUGAUGGGGUUAUCCGUAAGGAGAAGCUCUUGAUCGAAGCCCCGGUAAACGGCGGCCGUAACUAUAACGGUCCUAAGGUAGCGAAAUUCCUUGUCGGGUAAGUUCCGACCUGCACGAAUGGCGUAAUGAUGGCCAGGCUGUCUCCACCCGAGACUCAGUGAAAUUGAACUCGCUGUGAAGAUGCAGUGUACCCGCGGCAAGACGGAAAGACCCCGUGAACCUUUACUAUAGCUUGACACUGAACAUUGAGCCUUGAUGUGUAGGAUAGGUGGGAGGCUUUGAAGCGUGGACGCCAGUCUGCGUGGAGCCAACCUUGAAAUACCACCCUUUAAUGUUUGAUGUUCUAACGUUGGCCCCUUACCGGGGUUGCGGACAGUGUCUGGUGGGUAGUUUGACUGGGGCGGUCUCCUCCCAAAGCGUAACGGAGGAGCACGAAGGUUAGCUAAUCCUGGUCGGACAUCAGGAGGUUAGUGCAAUGGCAUAAGCUAGCUUGACUGCGAGCGUGACGGCGCGAGCAGGUGCGAAAGCAGGUCAUAGUGAUCCGGUGGUUCUGAAUGGAAGGGCCAUCGCUCAACGGAUAAAAGGUACUCCGGGGAUAACAGGCUGAUACCGCCCAAGAGUUCAUAUCGACGGCGGUGUUUGGCACCUCGAUGUCGGCUCAUCACAUCCUGGGGCUGAAGUAGGUCCCAAGGGUAUGGCUGUUCGCCAUUUAAAGUGGUACGCGAGCUGGGUUUAGAACGUCGUGAGACAGUUCGGUCCCUAUCUGCCGUGGGCGCUGGAGAAUUGAGGGGGGCUGCUCCUAGUACGAGAGGACCGGAGUGGACGCAUCACUGGUGUUCGGGUUGUCAUGCCAAUGGCACUGCCCGGUAGCUAAAUGCGGAAGAGAUAAGUGCUGAAAGCAUCUAAGCACGAAACUUGCCCCGAGAUGAGUUCUCCCUGAGACUUUAAGUCUCCUGAAGGAACGUUAAAGACGAUGACGUUGAUAGGCCGGGUGUGUAAGCGCAGCGAUGCGUUGAGCUAACCGGUACUAAUGAACCGUGAGGCUUAACCUU
rnacentral:rRNA from 2 species